rnacentral:rRNA from 1 species
UACGUAGGUGGCAAGCGUUAUCCGGAAUUACUGGGCGUAAAGCGCACGCAGGCGGUCUUUUAAGUUUGACGUGAAAGCUCCCGGCUUAACUGGGAGAGGUCGUUGAAGACUGGAAGACUUGAGGCAAUGAGAGGGGUGUAGAAUUCCCGGUGUAGUGGUGGAAUGCGUAGAUAUCGGGGGGAAUACCAGUGGCGAAAGCGACACCCUAGCGUUAGCCUGACGCUCAUGUGCGAAAGCGUGGGGAGCGAACGGG